AUUGAACGCUGGCGGCAUGCCUUACACAUACAAGUCGAACGGUAACAGGUCUUCGGAUGCUGACGAGUGGCGAACGGGUGAGUAAUACAUCGGAACGUGCCUAGUAGUGGGGGAUAACUACUCGAAAGAGUGGCUAAUACCGCAUGGGAUCUACGGAUGAAAGCAGGGGAUCGCAAGACCUUGUGCUACUAGAGCGGCCGAUGGCAGAUUAGGUAGUUGGUGGGAUAAAAGCUUACCAAGCCGACGAUCUGUAGCUGGUCUGAGAGGACGAUCAGCCACACUGGGACUGAGACACGGCCCAGACUCCUAUGGGAGGCAGCAGUGGGGAAUUUUGGACAAUGGGCGCAAGCCUGAUCCAGCAAUGCCGCGUGCAGGAUGAAGGCCUUCGGGUUAUAAACUGCUUUUGUACGGAACGAAAAGCCCUGGGUUAAUACCCUGGGGUCAUGACGGUACCGUAAGAAUAAGCACCGGCUAACUACGUGCCAGCCGCCGCCGUAA
rnacentral:rRNA from 1 species